rnacentral:rRNA from 1 species
GACGUAGGGCGCGAGCGUUGUCCGGAUUUAUUGGGCGUAAAAGAGCUCGUAGGCGGCUUGUCGCGUCGACUGUGAAAAACCCGUGGCUCAACCAUGUGGUCUGCAGUCGAUACGGGCAGGCUAGAAUUCGGUAGGGGGAGACUGGAAUUCCUGGUGUAGCGGUGAAAAUGCGCAGAUAUCAGGAGGAACACCGGUGGCGAAGGCGGGGUCUCUGGGGCCGAUAUUUGACGCUGAGGGAGCGAAAAGCGUGGGGGGAGC